ACGAGUUAGGGCCUCUGGCCCGAACCUCCAACCCUUUGUAUCAAAACCUCGUUGCCUCGGGGAGGCCCUGCCUCACGGCUGGCCCCCCGAUGGACCAGCUAAACUCUGCAUCUGUAUGACGUCUGAGUAAAGAUUUUAAAUUAAAUCA
rnacentral:misc_RNA from 1 species